rnacentral:misc_RNA from 1 species
UCAAAAAAUUGAUUAUUUUUUGAAAUAAUUUUUUCCCAAUUUCCCUUGUGUACCUAUUCCAUGUUGCUUCCACUAGACCGGUAUAUCAUAAUAAUAUUAUAUACCUUUUCACCCCUUUAGAUAUAACAAAGUGGUGAAUGUAGUGUCGGUGGGUAGCCUUUUAUCAAUAACUUGUUUUAUAUCUAGUCUGAAUAUCUAAAGAUAAAAAUAAAA